rnacentral:rRNA from 1 species
AUUGAACGCUAGCGGGAUGCCUUACACAUGCAAGUCGAACGGCAGCAUAAGAGAGCUUGCUCUCUUGAUGGCGAGUGGCGAACGGGUGAGUAAUGUAUCGGAACGUGCCCAGUAGCGGGGGAUAACAUCCCGAAAGGGGUGCUAAUACCGAAUGUGACAGCAAUCUCGCAUGAGGAUGCUGUGAAAGAUGGCCUCUAUUUAUAAGCUAUCGCUAGAGGAUGGGCCUGCGUCUGAUUAGCUAGUUGGUGGGGGAAUGGCCUACCAAGGCGAUGAUCAGUAGCCGGUCUGAGAGGAUGAACGGCCACAUUGGGACUGAGACACGGCCCAG